rnacentral:sRNA from 1 species
UUCUGCUAGGGAUAGUAAUGGAAAGCCCGUAAAGGCAAAACCGUGAAAAAACAUGGAAUAGAAAAGCGACCAUAGGAAGCUCUUUCUAUGACUAUGUUUUUGAGGUUUUGACUGCGGACUUGAAAUGGAUAGCCCGCUCGAGC